GACGAACGCUGGCGGCGUGCCUAAUACAUGCAAGUCGAACGCAGUGGGGACGGGUGAGUAACACGUGGGUGACCUCCCAUCAGAGGGGAUAACACUUGGAAACAGGUGCUAAACCGAUACUGAUUGAUGUACCCGCGGUGCAUUAGCCAGUUGGUGCGGUAACGGCUCACCAAGUCCACGAUGCAUAGCCGACCGGAGAGGUGGAUCGGCCACACUGGGACUGAGACACGGCCCAGACUCCUACGGGAGGCAGCAGUAGGGAAUAUUCGGCAAUGGACGAAAGUCUGACCGAGCAACGCCGCGUGAGUGAAGAAGGUUUUCGGAUUGUAAAACUCUGUUGUCAGAGAAGCGGUAUCUAACCAGAAAGCCACGGCUAACUACGUGCCAGCCGCCGCGGUAAUUC
rnacentral:rRNA from 1 species